rnacentral:lncRNA from 1 species
GCCAGGACUUCAUCCGUGCCAACGCCGCCGCCAUUCGGGCGGUCGUCGGCAACUCCAAAGCUGGCGCUGACGCGGACACCAUCGACGCCCUUCCCCGGCUCGAGAUCGUUGCCUGCUUCAGCGUCGGCCUCGACAAGGUCGACCUCGCCAAGUGCCGGGAGCGGGGCAUCCGGGUCACCAAUACGCCCGACGUCCUCACCGAGGACGUCGCCGACCUCGCCAUCGGGCUAGCCAUCGCCGUCCUGCGCCGCCUUUGCCAGGCCGAUCGGUACGUCCGGAGCGGG